UGAGUGCGAGCUGCUACGGCAGCGAAGUUGGUGAUGUCAUGCUUCCAAGAAAAGCCCUAUACCCGUUAAGGCAUCAUGGCCUGUACCCGAAACCGACACAGGUGGGGUGGUAGAGAAUACCGAGGGGCGCGAGGUAACUCUCUCUAAGGAACUCGGCAAAAUGGCCCCGUAACUUCGGGAGAAGGGGUGCCACCGCAAGGUGGUCGCAGUGAGGAGGCCCAGGCGACUGUUUACCAAAAACACAGGUCUCCGCUAAGUCGCAAGACGAUGUAUGGGGGCUGACGCCUGCCCAGUGCCGGAAGGUUAAGGAAGCUGGUCAGCGCAAGCGAAGCUAGCGACUGAAGCCCCGGUGAACGGCGGCCGUAACAAUAACGGUCCUAAGGUAGCGAAAUUCCUUGUCGGGUAAGUUCCGACCCGCACGAAAGGCGUAACGAUCUGGGCGCUGUCUCGGAGAGAGGCUCGGCGAAAUAGAAUUGUCUGUGAAGAUGCGGACUACGUGCACCCGGACAGAAAGACCCUAUGAAGCUUUACUGUAGCUUGGUAUUGUGCCCGGGCUCGCAAUGCGCAGGAUAGGUGGGAGGCUUUGAUCAUCGGCUUGCGGGUCGAUGUGAGCCAACGGUGAGAUACCACUCUUUGCGAGCUAGGGUUCUAACGGCCACCCGUCAUCCGGGGGCCGGACAGUACCUGGUGGGCAGUUUGACUGGGGCGGUCGCCUCCUAAAAGGUAACGGAGGCGCGCAAAGGUAUGCUCAGGCUGGUUGGAAAUCAGCCGACGAGUGUAAAAGCAGAAGCAAGCUUGACUGUGAGACCAACAAGUCGAACAGGGAGGAAACUCGGCUUUAGUGAUCCGACGGUUCUGAGUGGAAGGGCCGUCGCUCAACGGAUAAAAGUUACUCUAGGAUAACAGGCUGAUCUCCCCCAAGAGUUCACAUCGACGGGAGGUUUGGCACCUCGAUGUCGGCUCAUCGCAACCUGGGGCUGAAGUCGGUCCCAAGGGUUGGGCUGUUCGCCCAUUAAAGCGGUACGCGAGCUGGGUUCAGAACGUCGUGAGACAGUUCGGUCCAUAUCCGGUGCACGCGCAGGAAUAUUGAGAGGAUUUCUCCCUAGUACGAGAGGACCGGGAGGAACGCACCUCUGGUGUACCAGUUAUCGUGCCAACGGUAAACGCUGGGUAGCCAUGUGCGGAGUGGAUAACCGCUGAAAGCAUCUAAGUGGGAAGCCCACCUCAAGAUGAGUAUUCCCAUGGCGUAAGCCAGUAAGGUCACGGGAAGAACACCCGUUGAUAGGCUCUAUGUGGAAGCGCAGUAAUGCGUGAAGCAGAGGAGUACUAAUAGACCGAGGGCUUG
rnacentral:rRNA from 1 species